CGUCACAAUAGACAGGUUAACAUCAUCAAGAGAAUGUUAAUAACAAAUAAAAUACAAGGAAUAUACAGCAAAAACAAUCAGCUUGGUCAUUGUAAUGAUGUACAGGAUAAAAAAAAU